GAGAGUUGGUUAGUCAGUGACGAGCGCACCCUAUCCUUAUUUGCCAGCGCAUAAUGGCGGGAACUAUAAGGAGACUGCCGGUCAUAAACCGGAGGAAGGCGGGGACGAGGUCAAGUCAUCAUGGCCCUUAUGGGUAGGGCUACACACGUGAUACAAUGGGUGGUACAGAGGGUCGCCAAAGCGCGAGCUGGAGCCAAACCCUUAAAACCAUUCUUAGUCCGGAUUGGAGUCUGCAACUCGACUCCAUGAAGUUGGAAUCGCUAGUAAUCGCGAAUCAGAAUGUCGCGGUGAAUACGUUCUCGGGCCUUGUACACACCGCCCGUCACGUCAUGGAAGUGGGUUGCACCAGAAGUGGCUUGUUUAACCUUCGGGAAAACGGUCACCACGGUGUGAUUCACAACUGGGACGAAGUCGUAACAAGGUAGCCCUAGGGGAACCUGGGGCUGGAUCACCUCCUU
rnacentral:rRNA from 1 species